CCGUAAGUAAAAUGAAUUCUAUAAGUAUAUUGGAUAUUAUUCAAUGCACCGGAUUAAACAUGCACCAAAUGUGAUACUUUUUGUUACCUAUCAACAAAACAAGAAGAGAGACAUUUCAAUUUUUGAUGGAAUGAAAUUACUUCUAUUUUUUGAAGUAUUAUUCUUGAGAUGUAAGGAUUAACAUAUUUGGCAAAUAUACGCAGUCAUUGAAGGAGUUGGUACGUUUUGACACUACGUUUAUAUUCUUGGGCAAAAAUUACAAAUCAAAUGUCAAAGCAUGACAUUACUGAGACAUGGAUGAAAAGGCAAGCUGCGCGUGCAGAAAUACCGGAAGUAUGCUUGGUUGUGGAGGGUAAUUCAUUGCUUGUUGAUAAAAAGGAACUUUUCGCACAAUCUCCUGUAUUCGAACGGCUAAGUAAAACUGUAUUUGGAAAACGAGAACAGCAGAUAGUUAUAAAAGGGAAAAGACGCAAAGAUGUUGUCAAUUUUCUUAGAUGUACUAUGCCUGGUGUACUCGAACCCAUGAAUAGUGAAAACGUUCACCGGAUUCUUCCAAUGGCGUUUGAAUACCAGGCAAAAAAUACAUUGAAACGCGCUGACGACUUUCUUGCAGAGGAAAUUCAACAAAUUGGUGAUAAUUUGUCAUCUUCAGAAAUUGUCAAAAAAAUUCUUGAGGCUGAAAAGUAUAAUUUAAUGGAAUAUUUGAAAACAUGUGUCAUGGUAGCUGCAAAACGGAGAUUCAAAAGUCUGUUAGCGUGUAAGGAUUUUUAUAGAAUAACCGAGAAAACCAAGUUAGAAAUGCGAUUUAAACGUUGGAAGGAUGUAGAAAUAGUGUCUGACGUGGAAGCAGAUUUAACACAAAACUUUCCUCACACACGUUAAAUGCAAUGUUCGUAUUGUCAUGUUAAAUUUUCAUUCAUUAAAUAGCAAUAUAGA